GUUCCUGCAGUGCAAUUGAUAGCUCGCUGGACUUCUAAUCCAAAGGUCGUGGAUUCGAAUCCCACCUGAAAUG